rnacentral:rRNA from 1 species
AGAGUUUGAUACUGGCUCAAAGCGAACGUUCGCGGCGCGCCUAACACAUGCAAGUCGCACGAGAAAGGGCUUCGGCCCCAGUAAAGUGGCGCACGGGUGCGUAACACGUAGGCAAUCUACCCCUGGGCGGGGGAUAACGUUCCGAAAGGGACGCUAAUACCGCAUAAGACCACGGCAAGCUCGCUUGCUGCGGCCAAAGGUGGCCUCUUCAUGAAAGCUAUCGCCCAAGGAUGAGCCUGCGGCCCAUCAGCUAGUUGGUAGGGUAAUGGCCUACCAAGGCAAAGACGGGUAGCUGGUCUGAGAGGAUGAUCAGCCACACUGGCACUGAAACACGGGCCAGACUCCUACGGGAGGCAGCAGUGGGGAAUCUUGGUCAAUGGGCGCAAGCCUGAACCAGCGACGCCGCGUGAGUGAUGAAGGCCUUCGGGUUGUAAAGCUCUGUGGGGAGGGACGAAAAAUGCCUGGGCGAAUAGGCCAGGAACUUGACGGUACCUCCUUAGCAAGCACCGGCUAACUCUGUGCCAGCCGCCGCGGUAAUUC